AUKAACAGAGAAKGAGYGGAARCCUGGAGGUGAGCACGUGCAGCAGCCUUGUCUCGUGUUGUUAUGGUAUUUUGUAGUUAUGUUUGUGAUAUUUUGUAAAUUUAUUGGUUGUCGUGUUUUAAUUAUUUAAUACUUUGAUUUAGAACAGAGAACGAAGUGAUAUUCUUCUAAAGACCAACCUCCGAAGUGGCAGGCGGCCACGAGUUUUCACGGCAUUUAAUAAAAAAGCCCGUCGAAAGAAA